UACGUAGGGCGCGAGCGUUGUCCGGAAUUAUUGGGCGUAAAGAGCUCGUAGGCGGUCUGUCGCGUCGGAUGUGAAAACCCAGGGCUCAACCCUGGGCCUGCAUUCGAUACGGGCAGACUAGAGUUCGGUAGGGGAGACUGGAAUUCCUGGUGUAGCGGUGAAAUGCGCAGAUAUCAGGAGGAACACCGGUGGCGAAGGCGGGUCUCUGGGCCGAAACUGACGCUGAGGAGCGAAAGCGUGGGGAGCAAACAGG
rnacentral:rRNA from 1 species